rnacentral:rRNA from 1 species
CCUACGGGAGGCUGCAGUGGGGAAUUUUGGACAAUGGGCGCAAGCCUGAUCCAGCCAUUCCGCGUGAGUGAAGAAGGCCUUCGGGUUGUAAAGCUCUUUCGCAAGGGAAGAAAACUUAUCCUCUAACAUAGGAUGAGGUUGACGGUACCUUGAUAAGAAGCACCGGCUAACUACGUGCCAGCAGCCGCGGUAAUACGUAGGGUGCGAGCGUUGAGUGGAAUUACUGGGGGCUGUGCUUGCGCAGGCAUUUGAAAUCCCCGAGCUCAACUUGUGAACUGCGUUUGAAACUACAAGACUAGAAUAGGUCAGAGGGGGGUAGAAUUCCACGUGUAGCAGUGAAAUGCGUAGAGAUGUGGAGGAAUAUCAAUGGCGAAGGCAGCCCCCUGGGAUCAUAUUGACGCUCAUGCACGAAAGCGUGGGGAGCAAACAGGAUUAGAUACCCUAGUAGUC